UCCGUGGAGUACAGAGCAGAAGCGAUUGCGGUCUCUGGGAGAUUUAGCAUCCUUCGCAAUCCUUGUAGAGUAUACAUAGGUUUCGUAAACUAUUCCAGAAUUAAAUAUCUGCACUAUCAAAGCUAUUGAAUGGUGUGCGUUUUGCGUCCACCAGCCCAGAAUUAAAGGGCUUGCGAGAUAAAAAAAAAAGUCGUUCCCCUUGCUUGCUAAGGGUCCGUCUCGAUUGGCGCUCGUUAGUCGAGCUGUAUCCAGCAGCAGCGCAUUCAUCCGUUUUUUUGUAUGCAAGUUGAGAAAAUAAGUUGAUCAGUGUAAAUGCUGCCAUUCCAGCCCGCACUGUAGGCGCGAAAUAAUUUGCGUCGCAAUGAGACCGCAGUCACUCGUUUAGGCCUCGUUUUCGCAAAUCCAAUAUGGAGGAAGCGCCACUGCGUCAGUGUAUUAUGCUGUUGUGAAGGGCCCCAUCGGAUCGUCCGGUCAUGGAUACGUGACGACGGCUCGUCUCAUCGACCACCAGCCACGAUGCGGGGAUCCGAAGAACGUUCGGCACGUUCCCGCGCCAAAGUGAAGGAGAAAGCUCGCAGUCCCGAGGAGAGCCGCCGCGUGAGCAGCAAGUCUCGGCACUCGUCCCAGAGCAGCAGUCAUCGAAAGCACAAGAAGAGCCAUCGGUCGCACCGACGAAAGCAUGCAACGCGCGACUCGGAGCGAGCCGUCAUUGCCACCAAGCCGCUGGUCGAGUACGACGAUGUGAGUUCGGACUCCUCGCUGUUCUCGGAUGACGGCGGAGCGCCCGCCGAACACCUGUACCCGGCGUCUCCGCUGCCGGUGUCUUCCUCAAGCCGGCACGGCGCGGAACGGCAGCCUGAGCGAACCGACAGUGGCAGCAACAAGCGGCGGCACUCUUCGCGGCACAAGGUGAGCGAUACCAAAGAGAGCACGAGUUCCUCGCGCUCUUCGAGUCGGCGUAACCACAGCGAACGGCCACCGUCUCCUCCGCCUCCACCGCCGUCCUCGUCGCGUUCGUCGCGGGACUACUCGACGUCGAGCGGCUACUAUGAACGAGACGUGAUGAAGGACUACGCGAGUAGCCGAACCUAUAUGAGUGCUUACAGGGAAUCGUCGGGCGUGCUGGACCCGUACUAUGGUGUGUCGGACUCUCAUGGCGACUGCUACGGCAGUCGCUCGAGCGGCAGUCGUAAACGGUCCCUGUCGCCGGACCAUCCGCGUGCCUACAAGAGCAGCGGUCGCAGCCCGGCGAGCUCGCCCAGCCCGCCGCCUAGCCGUUCGGCCAAGCGGCGGAAAUCUCCAACAUCCGACGCCCGCGAGAAAGACCGGCCAUCGCGGAACUAUUCGCCCAACAAUUCCUCUAGUCUCUACUCGUCGUCGCGCAAGGCCUCCGCGUACUCGCGAAGUCGGAGCAGAAGCCCUGUCAGGUCCAGGCGUUCCCGAAGAUCCAGAAGCCGUUCACGGAGCCCCCCUCCCCAGCGCCCUAGGGUUGGCCGAUCCCGGUCACCACCCUUGAGCCCUCCUGCGGCCUACCAGACGCAUCGACGGCGGGAGCGCAGCCCCAGCUACGAAACCAAGUUCGCCUCCACGAGUCUCGGUGCCGAGUUGCGCAAGCAUCGCAAAGGCCGCGAGCUUGAAAAGAGUCGUCACUCGGUCGGCAGCCGGGUAGCCCCACCGCCGCCGCCUCCCCCGCCGCCGCCUGCUGCGCCAUCCAAUGGGCCUGCUUCUUGUGCAGACAUCCCACCACCUCCUCUUCCACCACCACCCCCCAGCGAUCCUACGCAUCCACCACCACCGCCACCUGAAGCCCCACCUCUUCCUCCACUGCCCCCUCCCCCACCUGCUGCUGUGGUGCCACCCUCUGCAGAAGCUCCACCACCAGUGCCUCCCAAGGCACCCUCAAAGCCUUGCACACCCUCUGAAGGCUCCCCGGAGCUGGCCUCCUCGCCAGAAGAGGCAGCCACAGCACCAUCCCCUGGUGGCGGGGAGGACACCAGUGCUCCACACAGCAACAAUGGGAUGUUGGAAGAGGAGGAUGAGGGCAGCCUGGGUAGUGGGCGGUCAUCUGCCGAGCAGGUAUCCGCACAACCAAGCCCUACGCAGCCUGCAGCAGCACCACCCCAGCGCAAGAGCAUCAAGGAAUUGCCUAUGCCGCCUGGCAUGAAGGUGGAGGACGUAAUGUCACCCGAGGUGGCUGACCGGGAAGAAGGAUCGCCUCAGCUUACUCAACAGCAACAGCAGCAGCAGAUGAAGCAUGCAUUCACCAUGGCCACCCAGAGGGCAUUCUCUGCAACACCUGCUACCGGAACCCAGCCACCUCAAGGGGCAGCUGCUGCCUCCAUGCAGGUGUUUCGCAGGCCAAGGAUUCUGAACAAGCCUCCUUCUGAUGAUGAACGUUUUCCCAAUUGGGGCGAGCGCUGCGUGGAUGUUUUUGAUAUUGUGUGCCAGAUAGGAGAGGGCACCUAUGGACAAGUAUACAAAGCCAAAGAUAAGGACACCGGUGAACUGGUGGCCCUGAAGAAGGUGCGGCUAGAGAAUGAGAAGGAGGGCUUCCCCAUCACAGCUGUGCGAGAAAUCAAGAUUUUGCGUCAGCUCAACCACCCAAGCAUUGUCAACCUCAAAGAGAUUGUCACUGACAAACAGGAUGCCCUGGACUUUAAGAAGGACAAAGGGAAGGGAUCCUCCAUGACGUAUCCAGUGAGCCUCCCCUCCAUCCCCUGUGAGCAUCAAGGCCGUGUGCCACUGCCGGGCACGUGCACACGCGAAGACUGGGCCCUUAUGAAUCCCCGGCCCUGGGGAGGCGUUUGUAGCUCUGGAACAAGUGCUCCCUGUCCAUACCGGGAGCUCCAUGGGGCCGCGCCAUCUGGUGAAGGGGCAUUUUACUUGGUGUUUGAAUACAUGGACCACGACUUGAUGGGCUUGCUGGAAUCGGGGCUGGUGGACUUCAAUGAGCACCAUGUGGCCUCCUUCAUGCGUCAACUGCUGGACGGGCUUAGCUAUUGCCACCGAAGAAACUUCCUGCACCGUGACAUCAAAUGCUCGAACAUACUCAUGAACAACAGAGGCCAAAUUAAGCUGGCUGACUUUGGGCUGGCACGACUAUACAGUGCAGAAGACAAGGCACGGCCCUACACAAACAAGGUCAUUACACUCUGGUACCGACCGCCAGAACUACUUUUGGGAGAGGAGCGGUACGGACCUGCUAUUGAUGUCUGGAGCUGCGGGUGUAUCCUGGGUGAGCUGUUCACCCGCAAGCCAGUCUUCCAGGCCAACCAGGAGAUGGCCCAACUGGAGGCCAUCAGCAGGGUGUGUGGCACACCCUGUCCAGCCGUGUGGCCACGUGUCAUCCAGCUGCCCCACUGGGCCACCUUUCGACCUAAAAAGCAGCACCGGCGGCGGCUGCGCGAGGAGUUUUCCUUCCUGCCAGGUCCUGCUCUUGAUCUGCUGGACCAGAUGCUCGAACUGGACCCUGAGCGUCGCAUCACUGCCGAGGCAGCCCUGCGCUCCCCCUGGCUUGCCCAAGUGCGGCCCGAGCGUAUGGCCCCACCCGACCUCCCGCACUGGCAGGACUGCCACGAAAUGUGGUCCAAGCGUCGCAGGCGACAGCUUCGGCUAGAACAAGACAUGGCAGGCACAUCAUCGGGGCCCCUACCAUCCUCAGGCUUGCCCAUGAACCUGGGAGGAGGCGGCAACAGUGUGCAUUCGGCUCCGAGCACUCAGGACAUCUCUCGAGACGAUGGGCCCCCACUUGGUGGGCGGCCCUGUGUACUCGAUGAACCUGACAGUUGUAAGUCUGCCGACGGCUCUGACAGCAACCCGGCUGCGCCCAGUGUGAACAGCCAGCAACUGCAGACCAACCUCAACACCAUCACGGCUGCUUUCCAGAAGCAUGAAACUCUCAGCAUUGCCCAGCUAGCCAAUUUGCUUAACAUUAAGGUUGAUACCUCCACAAAGCAGCUUCUUGAAAACCUGAACAUGCAGCUACUGCUGGCAGCAGCUGCCAAGCAGGCCCAAAAGGUGCAGAUGGCCAGCCAUCAGAGCAGGCAGAUGCAGCAGCAGCAGCAGCAGCCGCAGCAAGUGCCUCCACCCCUUCAGCAGCACUCAACAACACCAUUGCAACACACCCAGCCAGCAGCACAGCAGCAGCAACAGCAGCAGCAGCCAUCCCCACAGCUUCUUGUGUCAUCCUCCAGGCCUCAAGCGGACAUGUCAAGGGUUGACGAAGUGGGCGGGGGCUUGGAGCAUACCAAUGAGACAGGAGGGGGCCGCCUAGCACGGCCACUGCAGGCACCUGUGCUGUCACCCCCACAGCCAUCGUCUCGCAGGCCACCACCAUCCCACCUUGUGGAGUCCCCCACACAUUCUAAGUGGAGGAGUGGCGAGUCCGUCCUACCUGCUGGCUCCUUGAGGCCACCUGUGCCACAGCACCCACUUCCACCUGCCUCCGACAUCCGGGGGCAGACCACCAGCCCUGGUGCCUACCUCUUCGACCGUGGGCCUUUGGGUCCACCCCUCCACAUGGAUGACACCCAUGGUGACCGUGCCCCUCCUGUGCUUCCUCGACGGAUUGAGGCCUCCACUGCGCACCGUGGAAGGCCACCGUCACCUCCCAUGCCUGUGCUUGGCCGAGGGUCAGGGGAUGCCACUUCAUACCAUCGGAGAGGACCACCCGACGACAGUUCGCCACCCUUUGAAUCCGUGGGUCUGUCUGGCAUGAGUUCCUCCGCUGCGCAACAACAGAGCUACACCACUUCAGGCGUCAAGGCUGCAUUGGCGCAGCUGCUGGAAGCGCAGGGCUUUCGCGUAAAGAAUCCCAGCAGCCACUCAGGUACUCCGGCGAAGGCAUCAAACAGCUGUGCUAGCUGAAAUGCUCUGCCCAUGGGUCUUCGACCAUGGAUGGCUUGACAUAGCUGUGGGAACCGCCGCUGGCUCCGCGAUUGGGCGAGGACUGGAACGGCGAUCCAGACCAGCUGGAUCCCCGGGAGCCUGAAGACUGCGACAUCAAGAGAAGAACAAGAGAAAUAAAUGGCAGGCAGCGGCAAAGUGCACAUGCAGUGCUCUGCCGCUUCACCGAGCCAGGCAACGGCGCUGCGCACUACAUCUCGGAGGCAGCUGUACGCCGACGUGUGCACCUUUUGCUCCAUUCUCAUUGUCACCUUCCAACAAAACUUACUGAGAAUGCUGCCAAACACACGAAAAGGUGCUGCCUGAUUGGCUGGUGGACAAGGUGCCACACACAAGCACAGCUGCCCAGGCUGUCUGCCCUGAAGUGACUGCGGAGGGUGGCAUUAUUCAUCAUCGGUGGCUCCCUGAAGGGAAAGGCAAGCACUGAGGAAAAAAAUGCAUGAUCCAGGAAAAUGUAGCGCCUAAUAAGCCAAAAAUAGUUGAAAACUCGCUAAAUAAAGCUCGCUAUCAGUGUCUGAA
rnacentral:misc_RNA from 1 species